AAUCUUCGGCAAUGGACGCAAGUCUGACCGAGCAACGCCGCGUGAGUGAGGAAGGCCUUCGGGUCGUAAAGCUCUGUUAUUAGGGAAGAACCUACAGGAGAGUAACUGCUCUUGUAUUGACGGUACCUAAGAAGAAAGCCCCGGCUAACUACGUGCCAGCAGCCGCGGUAAUACGUAGGGGGCGAGCGUUGUCCGGAAUUAUUGGGCGUAAAGCGCGCGCAGGCGGCCAUGUAAGUCUUAUGUUUAAACCCAAGGCUCAACCUUGGGUCGCAUAGGAAACUGUGUGGCUUGAGUGCAGAAGAGGAGAGCGGAAUUCCACGUGUAGCGGUGAAAUGCGUAGAGAUGUGGAGGAACACCAGUGGCGAAGGCGGCUCUCUGGUCUGUAACUGACGCUGAGGUGCGAAAGCGUGGGGAGCAAAC
rnacentral:rRNA from 1 species